AUGGAUAUGGAACACGAAAUAUCAAAAAAAUUAGGUUUACUUCCUACUCAUGGAGAUGGGGAACCUCCUAAAACCCUCGAUGCUCAUUAUGUGAAAGAUAUUAUGUACUACUUUGAUAAUCCUGAGAAAACCCCAUUCAACUUUAUAAUGGGAGUAAUGUUGGAUCAACGUGAAUACUUUAGGGAUUAUCGCUUGACUCAAAAAGGGAAACUAUUAUGGGAUCAAAUUUAUAUGUUGCAUUGGUAUGCUCGGCAGCUAUGCUUGAGAUAUAAUUAUACUUGUUGCUCUAGGAUGAAGGCUCCACACCUUCCCUUUUCACGUGAAUUUAAUGAUGAUGAAACAUUGGCUUCUUAUGCUAAUGGUAUAUAUGAUUAUUAUGAUGUGGAACAAAUAGAAAAAUUCAUUGCUUUUAUGGGUGCUUAUGAAAUUGAAUCUUUGUUUAAAGAGUUUGAAGAUUUUGAUGAUUCAGUUUAUAGACCCGAAAAUUUAGCUAUCCUUAAAUAUUGCUAUGAGAAUAAUAAAUACAAUUAUGAUAUUGAUGAAUUUUUUGAGAAAGUCUCCGCUGUCCGAGAAGAGACUAAUAUUGUGCAGGAGUCUAUGGAAGAAGAAAUUGAUGAAACUGUGAGCUCAUUGGAUGAAAAAUAUGAUGAGGAGAGCGAAGAACAAAAGGAGGAAAAGCGGAUUAUCUACCCAUGCCCACCUUCUAAUGAGUGUAACUCUUCAACUCAUACAUUGUCUAAUUUCCCUUUGUGCUUACUGAAGGAUGAUUGCUAUGAUGAUUGUUAUGAUCCCGUUGAUUCUUUUGAAAUAUCACUUUUUGAUGAUGCUUGCUAUGCUUGUGGCCAAGAUGCCAAUAUGAAUUAUGCUUAUGGAGAUGAACUUGCUAUAGUUCCUUAUGUUAAAAAUGAAAUUGUUGCUAUUGCACCCACGCAUGAUAGUCCUAUUGUCUUUUUGAAUUCUCCCGGCUACACUAUAUCGGAGAAGUUUGCCCUUAUUAAGGAUUGUAUUUAUGGGUUGCGUUUCACUACUACACAUGAUGAUUAUGAUAGAUAUAAUAUGCAUGUGCUUGCUGCUCCUACUUGCAAUUAUUAUGAGAGAGGAACUACAUCUCCGCCUCUCUAG
rnacentral:rRNA from 1 species